rnacentral:rRNA from 1 species
UACGUAGGAUGCAAGCGUUGUCCGGAAUUACUGGGCGUAAAGGGCUCGUAGGCGGCCAACUAAGUCGGACGUGAAAUCCCUCGGCUUAACCGGGGAACUGCUUCCGAUACUGGAUGGCUUGAGUGUGGGAGAGGGAUGCGGAAUUCCAGGUGUAGCGGUGAAAUGCGUAGAUAUCUGGAGGAACACCGGUGGCGAAGGCGGCAUCCUGGACCAUUACUGACGCUGAGUGAGCGAAAGCCAGGGGAGCAAACGGG